rfam:Glycine max cultivar Williams 82 chromosome 15, whole genome shotgun sequence.
AAAGUGGAGUGCAGCCAAGGGUGAUUUGCCGGCACAGGCACUAAUUAGUUCAAUAUUGAAUAGUUAGUUCUGUUUGAUUGAUUUACUUCUGUGCCGGCAAGUUUCUCUUGGCUACAUUUCGCUUUCU